GUGGUCUAAUCUAGCGGUGUUGUCUAAUCUAGCGGUGGUGUCUGUUGUCUAAUCUAGUGGUGGUGCCUGUGGUCUAAUCUAGCGGUGUUGUCUAAUCUAGCGGUGUUGUCUGUGGUCUAAUCUAGCGGUGGUGCCUGUGGUCUAAUCUAGCGGUGCGGUGUGUGGUCUAAUCUAGCGGUGGUGCCUGUGGUCUAAUCUAGCGGUGGUGCCUGUGGUCUAAUCUAGCGGUGGUGCCUGUGGUCUAAUCUAGCGGUGUUCGGUGUUGUCUAAUCUAGUGGUGGUGCCUGUGGUCUAAUCUAGCGGUGUUGCCUGUUGUCUAAUCUAGCGGUGGUGUCUGUGGUCUAAUCUAGUGGUGGUGCCUGUGGUCUAAUCUAGCGGUGUUGUCUAAUCUAGCGGUGUUGUCUGUGGUCUAAUCUAGCGGUGUUGCCUGUGGUCUAAUCUAGCGGUGGUGCCUGUGGUCUAAUCUAGCGGUGGUGCCUGUGGUCUAAUCUAGCGGUGGUGCCUGUGGUCUAAUCUAGCGGUGGUGCCUGUUGUCUAAUCUAGCGGUGGUGUCUGUGGUCUAAUCUAGUGGUGGUGCCUGUGGUCUAAUCUAGCGGUGGUGUCUGUGGUCUAAUCUAGUGGUGGUGCCUGUGGUCUAAUCUAGCGGUGUUGUCUAAUCUAGCGGUGUUGUCUAAUCUAGCGGUGUUGUCUGUGGUCUAAUCUAGCGGUGUUGCCUGUGGUCUAAUCUAGCGGUGGUGCCUGUGGUCUAAUCUAGCGGUGGUAUCUGUGGUCUAAUCUAGCGGUGUUGUCUAAUCUAGCGGUGGUGCCUGUGGUCUAAUCUAGCGGUGGUGCCUGUGGUCUAAUCUAGCGGUGGUGCCUGUGGUCUAAUCUAGCGGUGGUGCCUGUUGUCUAAUCUAGCGGUGGUGCCUGUGGUCUAAUCUAGCGGUGGUGCCUGUGGUCUGUGGUGCCUGUGGUCUAAUCUAGCGGUGGUGCCUGUGGUCUAAUCUAGCGGUGGUGCCUGUGGUCUAAUCUAGCGGUGUUGUCUAAUCUAGCAGUGUGGUCUAAUCUAGCGGUGUUGCCUGUUGUCUAAUCUAGCGGUGGUGCCUGUGGUCUAAUCUAGCGGUGGUGCCUGUGGUCUAAUCUA
ensembl:lncRNA